CUGCGUGAGAGGUGAAAUUCUUGGACCGCCGGAAGACGGACGACUGCGAAAGCAUUUGCCAAGAAUGUUUUCAUUAAUCAGGAACGAAAGUUAGAGGUUCGAAGGCGAUCAGAUACCGCCCUAGUUCUAACCGUAAACGAUGACAACCAGCGAUUAAUCGGCGUUAAUAUAUGACCCGAUUAGCAGCUUCCGGGAAACCAAAGUUAUUCGUUUCCGGGGGAAGUAUGGUUGCAAAGCUGAAACUUAAAGGAAUUGACGGAAGGGCACCACCAGGAGUGGAGCCUGCGGCUUAAUUUGACUCAACACGGGAAAACUCACCCGGCCCGGACACCGUAAGGAUUGACAGACUGAGAGCUCUUUCUUAAUUCGGUGGGUGGUGGUGCAUGGCCGUUCUUAGUUGGUGGAGCGAUUUGUCUGGUUAAUUCCGAUAACGAACGAGACUCUGGCCUAUUAAAUAGACGGUAUAUUUAAAAGUAUAUCGCACUUCUUAGAGGGACAAGCGGCGUCUAGCCGCAUGAAAUAGAGCAAUAACAGGUCUGUGAUGCCCUUAGACGUCCGGGGCUGCACGCGCGCUACACUGAAAGAAUCAGUGGGCGUUAUGCCUAGUUCGGAAGAACCGGGUAACCCAAGUAAAUUCUUUCGUGCUUGGGAUAGGGAAUUGCAAUUAUUUCCCUUAAACGAGGAAUUCCCAGUAAAUGCGGGUCAUAAGCUCGCGUUGAUUACGUCCCUGCCCUUUGUACACACCGCCCGUCGCUACUACCGAUUGGAUGACUUAGUGAGGUCUUAGGACCGAGGUAAAGGUGCCUGUAAUGGGUGCUUUUGCUUUGGAAAUUUGAUCGAACUACGUUAUCUAGAGGAAGU
rnacentral:rRNA from 1 species